rnacentral:lncRNA from 1 species
UCAGCUGGAACAGUGCUGAGUCAAUUCAUUUACCAUGACGCUGCCCCAGGCACUCCCAGAAGAGAGAUUCUGAGUCAGGCCAGACUGCUGGGUAAAACUUCUCACCAGAAUAACACUCCUACCGGGUCGUAAUAAACGAAGGGGCCCAGUGUGCUGGUGGUAGCCAGCAAUAAGGUGCUGUUGCAGCUCAGCCCUGCUUGCAGUCACUCGGUUGGCUACCUACAAUCUGGGUUAACAGCUGCCCGGUUCUAACUUCUCCAGACCCUGACAGUUAAAAAGAGUAAAAGUCCCUCGCAAUUUCCGACUGUUGGAAGAACUCGAAGAAGGCCAGAAAGGAGUAGGAGAUGGCACAGUUAGCUGGGGUCUAGAAGAUGACGAAGACAUGACACUUACAAGAUGGACAGGGAUGAUAAUUGGGCCUCCAAGAGUCUGCCGUGCACCUGUAUCCUAGUUCCUUGGGCCAUUCAGCAAAGGUCCCUGGCAAGCCUGUCAGCUCCUGGUCUAUUCCAGGCACUACUAGACCCAGAGGCCUUUGCAAAGAAGACGAAGACAAUGAGGAUGGGGAAAAGUGGCCUCUUUCAGACCUUCCUGAUUUGUGAGAGUUCCCAGUCUUCAUAAUGCCAGCCAACCGUUUUUUGA